UAGGGGCAAGAACAACAGGGAUUGCCCCAGUAACGGCGAGUGAAGCGGCAACAGCUCAAAUUUGAAAUCUGGCCCCCGGGUCCGAGUUGUAAUUUGUAGAGGAUGCUUUUGGCGAGGUGCCUUCCGAGUUCCCUGGAACGGGACGCCAUAGAGGGUGAGAGCCCCGUCUGGUCGGACACCGAGCCUCUGUAAAGCUCCUUCGACGAGUCGAGUAGUUUGGGAAUGCUGCUCAAAAUGGGAGGUAUAUGUCUUCUAAAGCUAAAUAUUGGCCAGAGACCGAUAGCGCACAAGUAGAGUGAUCGAAAGAUGAAAAGCACUUUGAAAAGAGGGUUAAAAAGUACGUGAAAUUGUUGAAAGGGAAGCGCCUAUGACCAGACUUGGGCCCGGUGAAUCACCCAGCGUUCUCGCUGGUGCACUUCGCCGGGCACAGGCCAGCAUCAGUUUGGCGCGGGGGAGAAAGGCUUCGGGAAUGUGGCUCCCCCGGGAGUGUUAUAGCCCGUUGCGCAAUACCCUGCGCUGGACUGAGGUACGCGCAUUCGCAAGGAUGCUGGCGUAAUGGUCAUCAGCGACCCGUCUUGAAACACGGACCAAGGAGUCGUCUUCGUAUGCGAGUGUUCGGGUGUCAAACCCCUACGCGUAAUGAAAGUGAACGCAGGUGAGAGCUUCGGCGCAUCAUCGACCGAUCCUGAUGUUCUCGGAUGGAUUUGAGUAAGAGCAUACGGGGCCGGACCCGAAAGAAUGUGAACUAUCCCUGUAUAGGGUGAAGCCAGAGGAAACUCUGGUGGAGGCUCGCAGCGGUUCUGACGUGCGAAUCGAUCGUCAAUUAUGGGCAUGGGGGCGAAAGACUAAUCGAGCUUCUAGUAGCUGGUUUCGCCGAAGUUUCCCUCAGGAUAGCAGUGGUGACUCAGUUUUUAUGAGGUAAAGCGAAUGAUUAGGGACUCGGGGCCGCUAUAUGCUCAUCAUUCUCAACUUAAAUAUGUAAGAGCCUUGUUACUUGAUUGACGUGGCAUCGAUGUAUUCAACCCUAAUGGGCAAUUUUUGUAACUGAACUGGCAUGCGGAUGACCGAGCCUAGGUUAGGUCGGAUGGACCCUAUCGACCAUAGGUAGUACUCUGAACCGACGUGCAUGGAUCCGAUCGUAGACUGUUGAAGCUCCUGCAAGUCUAAGCCUGUAAAUAG
rnacentral:rRNA from 1 species